rnacentral:rRNA from 1 species
AUUGAACGCUGGCGGCAUGCCUUACACAUGCAAGUCGAACGGUAACGCGGGGGCAACCCUGGCGACGAGUGGCGAACGGGUGAGUAAUACAUCGGAACGUACCCAGUAGUGGGGGAUAGCUCGGCGAAAGCCGGAUUAAUACCGCAUACGACCUAUGGGUGAAAGCGGGGGAUCGCAAGACCUCGCGCUAUUGGAGCGGCCGAUGUCGGAUUAGCUAGUUGGUGAGGUAAAGGCNCACCAAGGCUACGAUCCGUAGCUGGUCUGAGAGGACGACCAGCCACACUGGGACUGAGACACGGGCCCAGACUCCUACGGGAGGCAGCAGUGGGGAAUUUUGGACAAUGGGCGCAAGCCUGAUCCAGCCAUGCCGCGUGUGUGAAGAAGGCCU